AUGCAAGUCGAGCGCUACCUUCGGGUGGAGCGGCGGACGGGUUAGUAACGCGUGGGAAUAUACCCUUCACUAUGGAAUAGCCUCGGGAAACUGAGAGUAAUACCAUAUACGCCCUUCGGGGGAAAGAUUUAUCGGUGAAGGAUUAGCCCGCGUAAGAUUAGAUAGUUGGUGGGGUAAUGGCCUACCAAGUCUACGAUCUUUAGCUGGUUUUAGAGGAUGAUCAGCAACACUGGGACUGAGACACGGCCCAGACUCCUACGGGAGGCAGCAGUGGGGAAUCUUGCACAAUGGAGGAAACUCUGAUGCAGCGAUGCCGCGUGAGUGAAGAAGGCCUUUGGGUUGUAAAGCUCUUUCGUCGGGGAAGAAAAUGACUGUACCCGAAUAAGAAGGUCCGGCUAACUUCGUGCCAGCAGCCGCGGUAAUACGGAGGGGGCUAGCGUUGUUCGGAAUUACUGGGCGUAAAGCGUACGUAGGCGGAUCAGAAAGUAUGGGGUGAAAUCCCAGGGCUUAACCCUGGAACUGCCUCAUAAACUCCUGGUCUUGAGUUCGAGAGAGGUGAGUGGAAUUCCAAGUGUAGAGGUGAAAUUCGUAGAUAUUUGGAGGAACACCAGUGGCGAAGGCGGCUCACUGGCUCGAUACUGACGCUGAGG
rnacentral:rRNA from 1 species